rnacentral:rRNA from 1 species
UCAGCAGCCGCGGUAAUACGUAGGGGGUUAGCGUUGUCCGGAUUUACUGGGUGUAAAGGGCGCGUAGGCGGGUUUGUAAGUCAGUGGUGAAAUCCUGCAGCUUAACUGCAGAACUGCCUUUGAUACUGCAAAUCUUGAGUUCAGAAGAGAGAGAUGGAAUUCCAGGUGUAGUGGUGAAAUACGUAGAUAUCUGGAAGAACACCAGUGGCGAAGGCGAUCUCUUGGUCUGUAACUGACGCUGAGGCGCGAAAGCGUGGGUAGCAAACAGGAUUAGAUACCCUGGUAGUCCACGCUGUAAACGAUGAAUACUAGAUGUUGGGUAGAAAUGCUCAGUGUCGCAGCUAACGCAUUAAGUAUUCCACCUGGGGAGUACGAUCGCAAGGUUGAAACUCAAAGGAAUUGGCGGGGGAU